rnacentral:rRNA from 1 species
AUUGAACGCUGGCGGCAUGCCUUACACAUGCAAGUCGAACGGUAACAGGCCGCAAGGUGCUGACGAGUGGCGAACGGGUGAGUAAUGUAUCGGAACGUGCCCAGUCGUGGGGGAUAACUGCUCGAAAGAGCAGCUAAUACCGCAUACGACCUGAGGGUGAAAGCGGGGGACCGUAAGGCCUCGCGCGAUUGGAGCGGCCGAUAUCAGAUUAGGUAGUUGGUGAGGUAAAGGCUCACCAAGCCGACGAUCUGUAGCUGGUCUGAGAGGACGACCAGCCACACUGGGACUGAGACACGGCCCAGACUCCUACGGGAGGCAGCAGUGAGGAAUUUUGGACAAUGGACGCAAGUCUGAUCCAGCCAUGCCGCGUGCGGGAAGAAGGCCUUCGGGUUGUAAACCGCUUUUGUCAGGGAAGAAAAGGUUCCUCCUAAUAAAGGGGACUCAUGACGGUACCUGAAGAAUAAGCACCGGCUAACUACGUGCCAGCCGCCGCAGUAACAC